rnacentral:lncRNA from 1 species
GAUUGAAAAAUGCAGACUACCAAGGCACUGCUCAUUUCUCCAGUUCUGAUCCACUCCUGUACCAGGGGUCUAAUCAGGCUUGUGUCUGCCUCCCUCCUGAGUAGACCAGAGGCUCCAUCUAAAAAGCCUUCCUGCUGUAGCUCCCUCUCCAGGUGGUCAGAUGGGAAUUCCAGACCAGUGUUAUUUCCAGGGGACAUUGACACAGCAGCCAAGUUUAUUGGUGUUGGGGCCGCCACAGUUGGUGUGGCUGGGCCAGGGGCUGGCAUUGGCACACUGUUUGGUAGCUUGACUAUUGGUUAUGCCAGGAACCCGUCUCUAAAGCAGCAACUCUUCUCCAAUGCCAUCCUGGGCUUUGCCCUGUCUGAGGCCACAGGAUUCUUCUGUUUGAUGGUCGCCUUCCUCAUCCUCUCCGCCAUGUGAGGCUCCCUAGGGUCACCUGGCCGUCCCUGCUGCUUUGACGCCAUGCCAGUCCUCCUGGUGCUGGAGUGUGCUGAGCUUUACCAUUAAACAACAACC